AUUGAACGCUGGCGGCAUGCUUUACACAUGCAAGUCGAACGGCAGCGCGGGCUUUGGCCUGGCGGCGAGUGGCGAACGGGUGAGUAAUACAUCGGAAUGUGCCCAGUAGUGGGGGAUAGCUCGGCGAAAGCCGGAUUAAUACCGCAUACGACCUGAGGGUGAAAGCGGGGGAUCUUCGGACCUCGCGCUAUCGGAGCGGCCGAUGGCAGAUUAGCUAGUUGGUGGGGUAAAGGCCUACCAAGGCGACGAUCUGUAGCUGGUCUGAGAGGACGAUCAGCCACACUGGAACUGAGACACGGCCCAGACUCCUACGGGAGGCAGCAGUGGGGAAUUUUGGACAAUGGGCGAAAGCCUGAUCCAGCAAUGCCGCGUGUGUGAUGAAGGCCUUCGGGUUGUAAAGCACUUUUGGCGGGAACGAAAAGGACUGUGCCAAUACCACGGUUCGAUGACGGUACCCGCAGAAUAAGCACCGGCUAACUACGUG
rnacentral:rRNA from 1 species